rnacentral:rRNA from 1 species
AACGUAGGAGACAAACGUUAUCCGGAGUUACUGGGCGUAAAGGGCGUGUAGGCGGUCUGUUAAGUCUGGCGUGAAAGCUCUCGGCUAAACCGGGAGAGGUCGUUGGAUACUGGCAAACUAGAGGACGGUAGAGGCGUGUGGAAUUCCGGGUGUAGUGGUGAAAUGCGUAGAGAUCCGGAGGAACACCAGUGGCGAAGGCGACACGCUGGGCCGUACCUGACGCUAAAGCGCGACAGCAUGGGGGAGCAAACAGG